rnacentral:rRNA from 1 species
UACGGGGGGGAGCAAGCGUUGUUCGGAUUUACUGGGCGUAAAGAGCUCGUAGGCGGUGUGUCGCGUCGGCCGUGAAAACCUGCAGCUUAACUGUGGGCUUGCGGUCGAUACGGGCAUCACUGGAGUUCGGCAGGGGAGACUGGAAUUCCUGGUGUAGCGGUGAAAUGCGCAGAUAUCAGGAGGAACACCGGUGGCGAAGGCGGGUCUCUGGGCCGAUACUGACGCUGAGGAGCGAAAGCGUGGGGAGCGAACAGG